rnacentral:rRNA from 1 species
AUUGAACGCUGGCGGCAGGCCUAACACAUGCAAGUCGAGCGGAUGAAGGGAGCUUGCUCCUGGAUUCAGCGGCGGACGGGUGAGUAAUGCCUAGGAAUCUGCCUGGUAGUGGGGGAUAACGUCCGGAAACGGGCGCUAAUACCGCAUACGUCCUGAUGUAGAAAGGGGUGGAUCUUCGGACCACACGCUAUCAGAUGAGCCUAGGUCGGAUUAGCUAGUUGGUGGGGUAAAGGCCUACCAAGGCGACGAUCCGUAACUGGUCUGAGAGGAUGAUCAGUCACACUGGAACUGAGACACGGUCCAGACUCCUACGGGAGGCAGCAGUGGGGAAUAUUGGACAAUGGGCGAAAGCCUGAUCCAGCAAUGCCGCGUGUGUGAAGAAGGUCUUCGGAUUGUAAAGCACUUUAAGUUGGGAGGAAGGGCAGUAAGUUAAUACCUUCCUGUUUUGACGUUACCAACAGAAUAAGCCCCGGCUAACUUCGUG